rnacentral:rRNA from 1 species
CAGGGAUUGCCUCAGUAACGGCGAGUGAAGCGGCAACAGCUCAAAUUUGAAAUCUGGCCCCCUCGGGGCCCGAGUUGUAAUUUGGAGAAGAUGCUUCGGGUGCGGCCCCGGUCUAAGUUCCUUGGAACAGGACGUCACAGAGGGUGAGAAUCCCGUACGUGCCCGGUGGUCGCCCCCGUGUGAAGCUCUUUCGACGAGUCGAGUUGUUUGGGAAUGCAGCUCAAAAUGGGUGGUAAAUUUCAUCUAAAGCUAAAUAUUGGCCAGAGACCGAUAGCGCACAAGUAGAGUGAUCGAAAGAUGAAAAGCACUUUGGAAAGAGAGUUAAACAGUACGUGAAAUUGUUGAAAGGGAAGCGCUUGCAACCAGACUUGCGCGCGGCCGAUCAUCCGGUGCUCGCACCGGUGCACUCGACCGCGCGCAGGCCAGCAUCGGUUUGGGCGGCUGGACAAAGGCCGCGGGAACGUGGCUCCCCCCGGGGAGUGUUAUAGCCCGCGGCGCAAUGCAGCCCGCCC